GAAAGCGUGGGGAGCGAAACGGAUUAGAUACCCGUGUAGUCCACGCUGUAAACUAUGCCUGCUGGAUGCCAGAAUUUUUUGGUGUCGAAGCUAACGCGUUAAGCAGGCCGCCUGGGGAGUACGGUCGCAAGAUUAAAACUCAAAGGAAUUGGCGGGGACCCGCACAAGCGGUGGAGCAUGCUCUUCAAUUGGCUGAUAACCCAAGAACCUUACCAAGGCUUGACAUGUAUGAAGUAGUGAACCGAAAGGGGAACGACCGGUAUCCAGUCCGGAGCUUACACAGGUGUUGCAUGGCUGUCGUCAGCUCGUACCGUGAGGCGUACCCUUAAGUGGGUUAACGAGCGCAACCCCUACUGCUAGUUGUAUCACUCUAGCGGAACUGCCGCGGCAACGCGGAGGAAGGUGGGGAUGACGUCAAGUCGGUAUUGCCCUUACGCCUUGGGCUAGAAGCAUGCUACAAUGGUCGGCACAAAGGGUCGCAAAGCCGCGAGGCUGAGCUAAUCCCAAAAAACCGGCCCCAGUUCGGAUUGGAGUCUGCAAUUCGACUCCAUGAAGCCGGAAUCGCUAGUAAUCGUAGGUCAGCUAUACUACGGUGAAUACGUUCUCGGGUCUUGCACACACUGCCCGUCACGCCAGCAAAGCUGGGGCCACCCGAAGUCUCACAUUAGUGGGCUCACGGUGGAAUCAGUGAUGAGGGUGAAGUCGUAACAAGGUAGCCGUAGGGGAAUCUGCGGCUG
rnacentral:rRNA from 1 species